ACUUGAUGUCAUCCUCUCUAUCUUGAAAUUUUGUCUCCAAGAAAGUAUUUUGUGUGAUUUAAUGAUUGAUGUUAGUGUUGACAUUUGGGAUUCUUCCUCUAUUUAAACUUUAGAGGUGCACCAUCUUUAUCAUCUCUUUGUUCUCUUUAAUGCUUUGUAUCACUCACUCACUUUAACACAAGCACAAAGAGAACCUUAAUCUCUCAUUCUCUCAAGUCUUUG